rnacentral:tRNA from 2 species
AGCAUCUGGACGGUGGUGGUCUUGCCGUUGGUGCCGGUGACGGCGAGCCAGGGCGCGGGCUUCCGGCCGUUCAGGCCGCGCAGCCGCCA